UACAGAGGUCCCGAGCGUUGUUCGGAUUCAUUGGGCGUAAAGGGUUCGUAGGCGGCGGGGCCAGUCUGAUGUGAAAUCCCGGGGCUCAACCCCGGAACUGCAUUGGAUACUGCCUUGCUAGAGUACUGGAGAGGGAACUGGAAUUUACGGUGUAGCAGUGAAAUGCGUAGAGAUCGUAAGGAAGGCCGGUGGCGAAGGCGAGUUCCUGGACAGUUACUGACGCUGAGGCACGAAGGCCAGGGGAGCAAACGGG
rnacentral:rRNA from 1 species